CCGGGACCCCACCAUAUGAGAUUGUGUGGGCACUCCGGCUACGUGCAUGAGCUUUAUCUUAUGAUGCAGGGUUCCUCCACCGGUACGAGUUGCGGCUCCGUGGCUAGGCUGCAAGGGUCCCAAACCUGGCUCCACCACUUCCUAGCGUGCGUCCGGCACAAAUAGCACUCUGGGCUUCCAUCUGCUUCUCCAAAAUGUGGCCAUCAAACAUGACCUACACCCCCCGGAGCCGUGGAAGAAGUCUAACGGGAGGCUUUUUUCAUUCUACCUGUGCCCUCCAGACCGGCUAAAAAGAGGCGUCCUGAGUAUGGAGGAAGGAUAGUCAUUCAUUCAGUCAGCCAGCCAGCCAUCCCAAAACAAAAAACAAAAAAACAAACAAGAAAACCUGAAGAUUUGAAAAGACUUUGGGAAGGGCGCCUGGGUGGCUCAGUUGGCUAAGCGACUGCCUUCGGCUCAGGUCAUGAUCCUGGAGUCCCUGGAUCGAGUCCCGCGUCGGGCUCCCUGCUCGGCUGGGGGUCUGCUUCUCCCUCUGACCUUCCCCCCUCUCAUGUGCUCUCUGUCUCUCAAAUAAAUAAAUAAAUAAAUAAAUCUUUAAAAAAAAAAAAAA